rnacentral:rRNA from 1 species
ACGAACGCUGGCGGCGUGCUUCACACAUGCAAGUCGAACGGAAAGGCCCUGCUUUUGUGGGGUGCUCGAGUGGCGAACGGGUGAGUAACACGUGAGUAACCUGCCCUUGACUUUGGGAUAACUUCAGGAAACCGGGGCUAAUACCGGAUAGGAGCUCCUGCUGCAUGGUGGGGGUUGGAAAGUUUCGGCGGUUGGGGAUGGACUCGCGGCUUAUCAGCUUGUUGGUGGGGUAGUGGCUUACCAAGGCUUUGACGGGCAGCCGGCCUGAGAGGGUGACCGGCCACAUUGGGACUGAGAUACGGCCCAGACUCCUACGGGAGGCAGCAGUGGGGAAUAUUGCACAAUGGGCGGAAGCCUGAUGCAGCAACGCCGCGUGCGGGAUGACGGCCUUCGGGUUGUAAACCGCUUUCGCCUGUGACGAAGCGUGAGUGACGGUAAUGGGUAAAGAAGCACCGGCUAACUACGUG